UAACUGAUAGGUAGCCUGUGGGCAGG
rnacentral:piRNA from 1 species